rnacentral:rRNA from 1 species
GGGGGAUCUUCGGACCUCUCGCUAUCAGAUGAGCCCAAGCCGGAUUAGCUAGUUGGUGGGGUAAAGGCCCACCAAGGCGACGAUCCGUAGCUGGUCUGAGAGGAUGAUCAGUCACACUGGAACUGAGACACGGUCCAGACUCCUACGGGAGGCAGCAGUGAGGAAUAUUGCACAAUGGGCGAAAGCCUGAUGCAGCGACGCCGCGUGGAGGAUGAAGGAUUUCGGUCUGUAAACUCCUGUCAGUAGGGAAGAGAAUGGACGGUACCUACUGAGGAAGCCUCGGCUAACUACGUG